rnacentral:rRNA from 1 species
GUGAGGAAUAUUGGACAAUGGGCGCAAGCCUGAUCCAGCCAUGCCGCGUGCAGGAAGACGCAUCUAUGGUGUGUAAACUGCUUUUGUACGGGAAGAAACACUCCCUCGUGAGGGAGCUUGACGGUACCGUUAGAAUAAGGAUCGGCUAACUCCGUGCCAGCAGCCGCGGUAAUACGGAGGAUCCAAGCGUUAUCCGGAAUCAUUGGGUUUAAAGGGUCCGUAGGCGGUUUAAUAAGUCAGUGGUUAAAGCCCAUCGCUCAACGAUGGAACGGCCAUUGAUACUGUUAGACUUGAAUUACAAGGAAGUAACUAGAAUAUGUAGUGUAGCGGUGAAAUGCUUAGAUAUUACAUGGAAUACCAAUUGCGAAGGCAGGUUACUACUUGUGGAUUGACGCUGAUGGACGAAAGCGUGGGGAGCGAACAGGAUUAGAAACCCUUGUAGUCC